rnacentral:misc_RNA from 1 species
AUGGUCAUAUUCAUUUUCCCAGUAGUUAUCACAACAAUCACAAUCUUCAUCGCAUAUUCCAGAUCCUAGGAGAUCCCAGGGACAGUGACCAUCUAUCUUCUAAGGAUAGAUGUAAUGGUUGUCAGGUGUUACUACUCCAAUGGAAAAAUCUUCUUGCUCCUUUUCCAAUGGCUGGACCAUCAUAGUCUGGAAUACAGGUAAAGAUCCUGUAGAAUGCUGAGGUGGCUGAAAGGAAGUUUGUACUG